GGCACGGUGGCAUAGUGGUUAGCACGUUCGCCUCACACCUCCAAGGGUUCGAUUCCCGCCGGGGCCA